CAAUAUUCCGGAGCGGGGAGUGGCGCAAGGGUGCGUAACACGUGGGUCAUUUUGCCGUGAAGCUGGGAACAACUCGUUGAAAGACGAGCUAAUACCCAAUGUGCUCCGCAAGGAGUAAAGCCGGGGACCGCAAGGCCUGGCACUUUUACGAUAAGCCCGCGGCCUAUCAGCUAGUUGGCGGGGUAAAAGCCCACCAAGGCUAAGACGGGGUAGCUGGUCUGAGAGGACGACCAGCCACACUGGAACUGAGACACGGUCCAGACACCUACGGGUGGCAGCAGUCGAGAAUUUUUCACAAUGGGCGAAAGCCUGAUGGAGCGACGCCGCGUGGGGGAUGAAGGGCUUCGGCUCGUAAACCCCUGUCAUUCGCGAACAAAGGUGCCGGCCUAAUAUGCCGUCGUCUGAUAGUAGCGGAAGAGGAAGGGACGGCUAACUCUGUGCCAGCAGCCGCGGUAAUACAGAGGUCCCAAGCGUUGUUCGGAUUCACGUGGGCGUAAA
rnacentral:rRNA from 1 species